rnacentral:lncRNA from 1 species
CUUGCAGGCAGACGACACCACUUAGUGGACGCGAUUUCUUCCCUGGUCCCACUGCCUGGUGCGUGCAGAGAAACUACUCCCAAGUGGGAAGUGAGUGGCUUGUUGAGGCUUGGGACAAAGCUCAGGGGUGUCCCAGGUGAACCCCCUUCUCUAAAACAAGCAGGUCCCUCCCUGCUCCGACACUGAAAUGACAUCACAGGGCACUGAGGACGUGGGGCCCGUCCCCGGCUGCUGCAGUGCAGUGCCACCUGCAGGCCGUGUGGCCUGAGCAGGCUGUGUCAUCUCCAGGCCUGCAGUCUCUCGUCUGUAGGAAGAGGAUGAUCAGUAGCCCAGCCUUGGAGCAGGGCCUAUGACCAUGUCUGAUGUUCAGGGAAUGAAGGAGUGAAGAAAGCAGGAAUGAACGAAGGAAGGAAGCAGCUCCAGCAAUUGGUUCCCAGGCAAGAAGCUGGUGGGGUUCUGACUUCUAUCCCGAUUCACACCCUUUCCUCCUGCCCUCAGGGCAGUCCUUCUCCUGCUCUUGUUCAUUCAUCCCCUUCAGCCCUUUCUUAUUCUCUUCUGUAGCCGAACCACAAAAAAUAAAUACAUUAGAAAUGUUUUCCGAGCUCA